GCCCUAGUGGUUCAAUGGUUAAGCACUCAGCUGCUAACUGGAAGGUUGGUGGUUUGAACCCACCCAGCGGCU
rnacentral:tRNA from 1 species